rnacentral:rRNA from 1 species
AGAGUGAACGCUGGCGGUAGGCCUAACACAUGCAAGUCGAACGGCAGCACAGUAGGAGCUUGCUCUUACGGGUGGCGAGUGGCGGACGGGUGAGGAAUACAUCGGAAUCUACCUUUUGGUGGGGGAUAACGUAGGGAAACUUACGCUAAUACCGCAUACGCCCUUCGGGGGAAAGCCGGGGACCAGCAAUGGCCUGGUGCUGAUAGAUGAGCCGAUGUCGGAUUAGCUAGUUGGUGAGGUAAUGGCUCACCAAGGCGACGAUCCGUAGCUGGUCUGAGAGGAUGAUCAGCCACACUGGAACUGAGACACGGUCCAGACUCCUACGGGAGCAGCAGUGGGAAUAGUUGGACAAGUGGGCGCAAGCCUGACUCCAGCAAUGCCGCGUGUGUAGAAGAAGGCCGUUCGGUUAGUAAAGACUAACGUUUAAGUUAGGAAAAGUAAAAACUACGAC